UCGAACGGCAGCACGGGUGCUUGCACCUGGUGGCGAGUGGCGAACGGGUGAGUAAUACAUCGGAACAUGUCCUGUAGUGGGGGAUAGCCCGGCGAAAGCCGGAUUAAUACCGCAUACGAUCNACGGAUGAAAGCGGGGGACCUUCGGGCCUCGCGCUAUAGGGUUGGCCGAUGGCUGAUUAGCUAGUUGGUGGGGUAAAGGCCCACCAAGGCGACGAUCAGUAGCUGGUCUGAGAGGACGACCAGCCACACUGGGACUGAGACACGGCCCAGACUCCUACGGGAGGCAGCAGUGGGGAAUUUUGGACAAUGGGCGAAAGCCUGAUCCAGCAAUGCCGCGUGUGUGAAGAAGGCCUUCGGGUUGUAAAGCACUUUUGUCCGGAAAGAAAUCCUGAGGGCUAAUAUCCUUCGGGGAUGACGGUACCGGAAGAAUAAGCACCGGCUAACUACGUGCCAGCAGCCGCGGUAAUACGUAGGGUGCGAGCGUUAAUCGGAAUUACUGGGCGUAAAGCGUGCGCAGGCGGUUUGUUAAGACCGAUGUGAAAUCCCCGGGCUCAACCUGGGAACUGCAUUGGUGACUGGCAAGCUAGAGUAUGGCAGAGGGGGGUAGAAUUCCACGUGUAGCAGUGAAAUGCGUAGAGAUGUGGAGGAAUACCGAUGGCGAAGGCAGC
rnacentral:rRNA from 1 species